rnacentral:rRNA from 1 species
UACGUAGGGUGCAAGCGUUGUCCGGAAUUAUUGGGCGUAAAGAGCUCGUAGGCGGUUUGUCGCGUCUGCUGUGAAAACUCGGGGCUUAACCCCGGGCCUGCAGUGGGUACGGGCAGACUAGAGUGCGGUAGGGGAGACUGGAAUUCCUGGUGUAGCGGUGAAAUGCGCAGAUAUCAGGAGGAACACCGGUGGCGAAGGCAGGUCUCUGGGCAGUAACUGACGCUGAGGAGCGAAAGCGUGGGGAGCGAACAGG